GACGAACGCUGGCGGCGUGCUUAACACAUGCAAGUCGAACGGAAAGGCCCUGCUUUUGUGGGGUGCUCGAGUGGCGAACGGGUGAGUAACACGUGAGUAACCUGCCCUUGACUUUGGGAUAACUUCAGGAAACUGGGGCUAAUACCGGAUAGGAGCUCCUGCUGCAUGGUGGGGGUUGGAAAGUUUCGGCGGUUGGGGAUGGACUCGCGGCUUAUCAGCUUGUUGGUGGGGUAGUGGCUUACCAAGGCUUUGACGGGUAGCCGGCCUGAGAGGGUGACCGGCCACAUUGGGACUGAGAUACGGCCCAGACUCCUACGGGAGGCAGCAGUGGGGAAUAUUGCACAAUGGGCGAAAGCCUGAUGCGGCAACGCCGCGUGCGGGAUGACGGCCUUCGGGUUGUAAACCGCUUUCGCCUGUGACGAAGCGUGAGUGACGGUAAUGGGUAAAGAAGCACCGGCUAACUACGUG
rnacentral:rRNA from 1 species